rnacentral:rRNA from 1 species
UACAGGGGGUGCAAACGUUGUUCGGAAUUAUUGGGCGUAAAGCGCGCGUAGGCGGCUACCUAAGUCGGAUGUGAAAGCCCCUGGCUUAACUGGGGAAGUGCACCCGAAACUGAGUAGCUAGAGUGCGAAAGAGGGUCGCGGAAUUCCCGGUGUAGAGGUGAAAUUCGUAGAUAUCGGGAGGAACACCGGUGGCGAAGGCGGCGUCCUGGGUCGACACUGACGCUGAGGCGCGAAAGCGUGGGGAGCAAACAGG